CUCAGUAAUGACGCAUGCUAGAUAGAUACUGUGCAAAUGGGUGUUUAACUUCACAUAGGAGACCCUGAGAGCAGAAGAUGUGGGCUCUCUGAGGAAGGAGGAAGAAGAAAUAAACGUCAAGAGAAAGAAAAGUGUUGAUCCACCAUGAAGGGAAUGAAGAGGAAGAAUCCCAGAUGAAGAAUUUGGAGCCACUCCACAAGAUGAAUGUCAAUUUGUGGGACCAUUCCAUGCAGAUGCAUCCAUGUAGCCAGAGGAUGAAAUUAACAGAAGGGAAAUUAGACAGCUUUGUGGAAAGCUCUCCUGAAUUCUCCCGUUCAUCUGUCCACAUCCUGCAACACCUUGGAUUGAUUAUUUCUGUUAUCUUGGAGUAUCUUUUGGUGUGCCUCAUCCCCCUGACAUUUUGGGAACUGAUUAUGAGCUCAAGCUGGUUGUGAGGACUUGGUCAUGGAGUAUUUACUGCCUCAGGUGGGUG
rnacentral:lncRNA from 1 species